ensembl:lncRNA
CUCCAGGGAGGCCACGGUUCUCCUAGAGCUGAGAGGAAGAGUGAAAGCUAGAUAAUCUACAGUCCGAUGAUUAUGGAAUGGAAGCCCAUACAAUAUGAAGAGGCCGAAGCCCCAACUGGAAACGACGGAGCGAUUUCCCCUGCUGCCAUCAGUCUCAAGAAUUUUUCCAGGUCAAGAAGUACAACGUAUUUAGAAACCGGACAUGUGGAGCGGAAGGAAGAAGAAAAUAAGAAAAAAACAAAAACAGGGCUCGUCCGGGAUUUGAACCCGGGACCUCUCGCACCCUAAGCGAGAAUCAUACCCCUAGACCAACGAGCCACUGCUGUAAGUGCCCCCUCGACUCUCUUUCUAAGGAGAUCCGGCGGCGCCAUGGAGCCUGCGCAGUUCAACCCUGGGCCUCUCUUGCACCUGCGUCCAGCGCCCGCAACAAGCUCAAGACUCCGCGUCCGCUCGAUACAACCCAGACGCCGAGAUUCUUUCUUUUGCCUGCGAGCUCUGCGUCCGGACGUGGGGACAACGCACCCAGCCGUCGUGCGCUAGGGAUAUGUGCCUGUCUGCAGACGGAGCUGCGGGUUUACACCGGGUCUCGGCGCUCGCGCUGGACCUCGGGAGGGUGCUGGCCGCGGGGUCCCCCCCGCGCCGCCUAGCCUUUGCGGAGCUCCCUACCGCGGUCUCACGCCGCCAGCAUCAGUACCAGCACUGUCGCGCAGCCCGGGCCUUGGGCUCCUGGACGUCUGGCUUUAUGCGAAGAUAACCGGAGUUGGCGAGGCUUCGGCCUGAAAUUUCAUCCGGGCUGGGUCAGGUGUGCAGAUUCCUUCGUUUAGCACCGAACUUGGGCGGAACUCCCGUCCUCGCCAGGGGGGCCUCCUAGCACGGGGCGUGCCUGGCACCUCUUCCCGCCCGUCGCCUCUGCGUCCCCGGGCCCAGGAUUCUACGCUCCCUGAGAGGCCUCUGUGCGCAGCAUGGAUUCCAGACCCCCCAAGAGAAACAGGGGUUCCCUGGAGCCCCUCCACCGUUUGUCUCCUCUGUGUCCCUGGGAAAUGUAGCCGGCGUGUUUGGGCUGCCCGCCCCGUGAAAUGGGGGUAUCAAGGUCUGAGGAAGUGCGGGCAGGAAGAAAUAUCUCAAGCUGGUCUGCUGGAAGCGUUUGUAAAGCUUCUUUCACUCCACAGCGCGAUGUGCCUGGCGCCUGCUCUGCCCCAGCCCUGGGCUGGGCCUUGGGGACACUGAUGAGUCAGACCUGCCUCCCGAACCCCCUGCCCAGUGGCGGCCACAGUGGCUGCGCCCUCUGCCCAGCCCAGGGCUGUGGGCUGGUCUGCAGGACCUCAGUCUGGGCCUUGGCUGGCUGUGGUUGCUGCUGAAGGAGGCUGUGGCCUGGACGCAAACCGGGGACCUCACCUCCUCGGCCUAGGCCCUCCACACCCCCAGAAAGGCCUUCUUCCUGGACAGUCCACACUGCUGCAGGCCCUGCAGGGGCUUCCUAGGGGCCUUGGGCAUAAUGAUGAGCUCUUAGCCUGCCACUCUCAGCCCUGAGACCUGAACCCCCUGCCCACUGUCACCUCUCAGCAGGCCCCCUCACUCCAUCUUGAACACCCCAGGCCAUGGUUCCAUUCAAAGCUGCCAUUCCAUGGAGGGUGCCCCCGGCUUCCUGUAAAUUCCCAGCUUUGCCCUUUCUGCUCCAGCACGUCCUCCACAAGGCAGACCCAAACUGGGUCAGGGCCUCCUCUGGUGCCCUCAGCUCCUGCGUUCCCUGUCACCCUGGCUGCCUGACCCCUGCAUACAUCUGUGUCUCCACCAGUGGGGUGGAGGGAAAGGGUUCCCGAGGAAGGACACGGGCCAGGUCAGCAGAGGGCCGGGCCCAGAUGACCUGUGGAGAGGGUUUGUUAAAUGAGUGCUAUUUUGUCUCUUUUCUAAAAGCUGAAACCAAAGAAAAACGUCACAACAGCUCAAAGCCUGGUCGGAGUCAGAGGUUCGAGAACAGCUCGUUUGCCCUCUCAAUCGGCACAAAAUGCCUGUCAGCCACGAAACGUCCGAGGGGGCUUCUCUGGCCCCUCUGUGACAGCUGGGGCCCUUGGAGAUGACUUCACUGGACAGGGGUCAGGCAGAGCAGGAGGGGCCCAGGAGGAGGUGACAAGGCGACUUUCUAACCAAAAGGGCUUCCGGCUCAGAGGCCUCAGUGUGGACUAAGUAGGCCCAGGAAUGUCUCGGGGAGGCCAUAUAGAGGCCAGAGCAUGGGAGAUGGCCAGGGGCAGGUACCUGUGGGUGCAUCCCCCCAGAGUUUGCAGAGAGGCAAGGGGCAAGGGAUGGAGGGUGGUGGGGAGUGGUUGUCUUUGCUCCUGCUGAGCCAGCAGGUGGGAUAAUAGGCCCAUCAGGCCUGAAGGCCACUCCUCCAGGCAAAUCUGGGCUGCGACUGGGCUCUCUGAGUAGAUGGUGUGAUAUAAAUAUUUAGGCCCCACUAGCUGUUCACACCCUUCUCAGGGGGGACUCAAGACUUCACAGCUGCAGGGCUGUGAUUGAUACCAUGCUCCUGACAGCGGCCAAGCAGGGAGUCCUGGAGAGUCUUGGC